rnacentral:rRNA from 1 species
ACAGCAGUCGCCACGGUAAAACGGAGGGUGCAAGCGUUAUCCGGAUUUAUUGGGUUUAAAGGGUCCGUAGGCGGAUCUGUAAGUCAGUGGUGAAAUCUCACAGCUUAACUGUGAAACUGCCAUUGAUACUGCAGGUCUUGAGUAAAUUUGAAGUGGCUGGAAUAAGUAGUGUAGCGGUGAAAUGCAUAGAUAUUACUUAGAACACCAAUUGCGAAGGCAGGUCACUAAGAUUUAACUGACGCUGAUGGACGAAAGCGUGGGGAGCGAACAGGAUUAGAUACCCGAGUAGUCCCUGUCUCUUAUAC